rnacentral:rRNA from 1 species
GACGAACCGUGCAAACGUUGUUCGGAUUCACUGGGCGUAAAGGGCGCGUAGGCGGUCAGCACAAGUCAGUUGUGAAAUCUCCGGGCUUAACUCGGAAAGGUCAACUGAUACUGUGCGACUAGAGUGCAGAAGGGGCAACUGGAAUUCUCGGUGUAGCGGUGAAAUGCGUAGAUAUCGAGAGGAACACCUGCGGCGAAGGCGGGUUGCUGGGCUGACACUGACGCUGAUGCGCGAAAGCCAGGGGAGCGAACGGG